rnacentral:rRNA from 1 species
AUUGAACGCUGGCGGCAGGCCUAACACAUGCAAGUCGAGCGGAUGAAGGGAGCUUGCUCCUGGAUUCAGCGGCGGACGGGUGAGUAAUGCCUAGGAAUCUGCCUGGUAGUGGGGGAUAACGUCCGGAAACGGGCGCUAAAACCGCAUACGUCCUGAGGGAGAAAGUGGGGGAUCUUCGAACCUCACGCUAUCAGAUGAGCCUAGGUCGGAUUAGCUAGUUGGUGGGGUAAAGGCCUACCAAGGCGACGAUCCGUAACUGGUCUGAGAGGAUGAUCAGUCACACUGGAACUGAGACACGGUCCAGACUCCUACGGGAGGCAGCAGUGGGGAAUAUUGGACAAUGGGCGAAAGCCUGAUCCAGCCAUGCCGCGUGUGUGAAGAAGGUCUUCGGAUUGUAAAGCACUUUAAGUUGGGAGGAAGGGCAGUAAGUUAAUACCUUGCUGUUUUGACGUUACCAACAGAAUAAGCACCGGCUAACUUCGUG